rnacentral:tRNA from 1 species
AAAAUUUUAAGUUAAACCAAACUAUAAACCUUCAAAGUUUAAUAUAUAUAUUCUAAUAUAUAUAAAUUUUA